AGAGUUUGAUCAUGGCUCAGAAUAAACGCUGGCGGCGUGCCUAACACAUGCAAGUCGAGCGGGAAAGCCUUUCGGGGUAAGUACAGCGGCGGACGGGUGAGCAACGCGUGAGAAUCUGCCCUUCAGUGAGGAAUACCUCCGAGAAAUCGGGGUUAAUACUGCAUACGUCCCUUCGGGGAGAAAGAUGGCCUCUUUGCUGUCGCUGAUGGAUGAGCUUGCGUGCUAUUAGCUAGUUGGUGAGGUAAUGGCUCACCAAGGCGAUGAUGGCUAACCGGCCUGAGAGGGUGUACGGUCACAUUGGAACUGAGAAACGGUCCAGACUCCUACGGGAGGCAGCAGUGGGGAAUCUUGCGCAAUGGGCGAAAGCCUGACGCAGCGACGCCGCGUGGAGGAUGAAGGUCUUCGGAUUGUAAACUUCUGUUAAGUGGGAAAAAGUUCUGUUCCUAAUACGAAUGGAAGAUGAUGGUACCACUAGAGAAAGCACUGGCUAAUCUCGUGCCAGCAGCCGCGGUAAUACGAGGGGUGCAAGCGUUAUUCGGAAUAAUUGGGUGUAAAGGGCGCGUAGACGGCGUGUUAAGUUUGUUGUUAAAUCCUUCGGCUUAACUGAAGAUAUGCAGCAAAUACUGGCAUGCUAGAGGGUGGAAGAGAGAAGUGGAAUUCUCGGAGUAGCGGUAAAAUGCGUAGAUCUCGAGAGGAACACCGAUGGCGAAGGCAGCUUCUUGAUCCAUUCCUGACGUUGAGGCGCGAAAGCGUGGGGAGCAAACAGGAUUAGAUACCCUAGUAGUCC
rnacentral:rRNA from 1 species